rnacentral:lncRNA from 1 species
AAGUCAAAGCCAAGAGCGUGAAGGAUGGCAGCCCUUCUCCCAGGCUCCCUGCUCUGUCUCCUUUCCCUGAAGCAGCUUGGGGCCUGCCCCGCGAUAUAUAUUUCUAUGCAUUUGCACAUGUAUAUAGCUACCUUGUAAAUAUUGAUUUGUAGCUUUAGGUUUUAUGGUAGCUUUUAAUUGGGUUCCCUGAGAACAGUUCAUCUAAGACAUACUUGAAUCUUUUCCUUUGCUUAAUUGUGUUUACUAGAACCAGUUCGAUGUGCUUCAAUACAUGUGUGGUUAUUAUUUUUUCAGUACUAGCGAUUGAAAGCAGGACCUCGUGCAAGCUAGGCAAGUGCUCUACCAUUAAGCUACACCCCCAGCCCAUUUUAAUCUUCAUUAUGAGGCCAGGUCUCCUAGUUGCCCAGGCUGACCUCAAACUUUUUAUCCUCCUGCCACGGCUCCCAUAUCACUGGGACUACAGGCAUGCCUGACCACUGCCAGCAGGUAUUACCUUUCUGAUGCUCCAAUCGGCCCACCUUGGGUCAAGCUGACUCCUGAUCCUUGCUGCCAAGGACUUGAACUCCCAGGAGAUCUCCCACCUCCUCCAGGCAGCUGCACCCUCACCUGUCUCUGCAGCAGCUCAGCUCCCUGGCAGGGUGCACUGGGCCAGAGGCUGGGCUCAGCUGAGUUUUGGGAGGACAGCUGGUUGCCUCAGAGUGUCCCAGAAAUGCAACUCACUCAUGCGAACUUCAGAAGAGAACCCCUCCCCCUCUGACUCCCAAACACAUCCUGUGUUUCUUUUUCUUGAUUUUGGCCUGGAGCCCAGACUCCAGCUGCCCCAGCUUGUCUGAAACCUUCUGGGAAACCCUGAGAUCUUGGUUUCCUCUGGCUCUUCUGCUCUCUAGGCAAGUCACCUAACUAUCCUGAGACCUAGUCUUCUCAUCUAUUGAGGAGGGUGA